UACGGAGGGUGCAAGCGUUGUUCGGAAUCACUGGGCGUAAAGCGUGCGUAGGCGGUUGGGUAAGUCGGAUGUGAAAGCCCAGGGCUCAACCCUGGAACUGCAUCCGAUACUGCCUAACUUGAGUAUGGGAGAGGGAAGCGGAAUUCCUGGUGUAGCGGUGAAAUGCGUAGAUAUCAGGAGGAACACCUGUGGCGAAAGCGGCUUCCUGGCCCAUUACUGACGCUGAGGCACGAGAGCGUGGGGAGCAAACAGG
rnacentral:rRNA from 1 species